rnacentral:rRNA from 1 species
AUUGAACGCUGGCGGCAUGCUUUACACAUGCAAGUCGAACGGCAGCGCGGGCUUCGGCCUGGCGGCGAGUGGCGAACGGGUGAGUAAUACAUCGGAACGUGCCCAGUAGUGGGGGAUAGCUCGGCGAAAGCCGGAUUAAUACCGCAUACGACCUGAGGGUGAAAGCGGGGGAUGUUCGGACCUCGCGCUAUUGGAGCGGCCGAUGGCAGAUUAGUUAGUUGGUGGGGUAAAGGCCUACCAAGGCGACGAUCUGUAGCUGGUCUGAGAGGACGACCAGCCACACUGGGACUGAGACACGGCCCAGACUCCUACGGGAGGCAGCAGUGGGGAAUUUUGGACAAUGGGCGAAAGCCUGAUCCAGCAAUGCCGCGUGUGUGAUGAAGGCCUUCGGGUUGUAAAGCACUUUUGGCGGGAACGAAAAGGACUGUGCCAAUACCACGGUUCGAUGACGGUACCCGCAGAAUAAGCACCGGCUAACUACGUG